AGUUGCCAUGACCGCUCAUCCAUCGAGAAAUAUAGAAACAUCUUCUGGAGCUAUAAUGAAAUUUGAUGAUGUGAAAUACAGUAUAGGUAUCACAAACGUGUCGGCAUACAAAAAUACAGGAAAAUUCGUAUGUGAAUUGGAAGGAAUUUAUAUUAUAUCAGCUUCCGUUAUGUCGUAUACCAAUGGUGCGGAAUACUACAUAUAUCUGAAUGGGAAUACUAUUUCAGAUACAUACAUCGGCAAUCAUAGCGGCAAAUUUGAUCACACUGGUGCAGUAACUUUCGUCCGAAAGUUAAAUCCAAAUGAUAAAGUCUGGUUGGUAGCUAGCGGUAGUUGGCAUUUCUAUG
rnacentral:lncRNA from 1 species